rnacentral:rRNA from 1 species
UCCCGGUUUAAGCGUGUAGGUGUGUGUUCCAGGUAAAUCCGGUUCACUUUAACACUGAGGCGUGACGACGAGGCACUACGGUGCUGAAGCAACAAAUGCCCUGCUUCCAGGAAAAGCCUCUAAGCAUCAGGUAACAUCAAAUCGUACCCCAAACCGACACAGGUGGUCAGGUAGAGAAUACCAAGGCGCUUGAGAGAACUCGGGUGAAGGAACUAGGCAAAAUGGUGCCGUAACUUCGGGAGAAGGCACGCUGACACGUAGGUGAAGUGAUUUACUCAUGGAGCUGAAGUCAGUCGAAGAUACCAGCUGGCUGCAACUGUUUAUUAAAAACACAGCACUGUGCAAACACGAAAGUGGACGUAUACGGUGUGACGCCUGCCCGGUGCCGGAAGGUUAAUUGAUGGGGUCAGCGCAAGCGAAGCUCCUGAUCGAAGCCCCGGUAAACGGCGGCCGUAACUAUAACGGUCCUAAGGUAGCGAAAUUCCUUGUCGGGUAAGUUCCGACCUGCACGAAUGGCGUAAUGAUGGCCAGGCUGUCUCCACCCGAGACUCAGUGAAAUUGAACUCGCUGUGAAGAUGCAGUGUACCCGCGGCAAGACGGAAAGACCCCGUGAACCUUUACUAUAGCUUGACACUGAACAUUGAGCCUUGAUGUGUAGGAUAGGUGGGAGGCUUUGAAGUGUGGACGCCAGUCUGCAUGGAGCCGACCUUGAAAUACCACCCUUUAAUGUUUGAUGUUCUAACGUGGACCCGUUACCCGGGUUGCGGACAGUGUCUGGUGGGUAGUUUGACUGGGGCGGUCUCCUCCUAAAGAGUAACGGAGGAGCACGAAGGUUGGCUAAUCCUGGUCGGACAUCAGGAGGUUAGUGCAAUGGCAUAAGCCAGCUUGACUGCGAGCGUGACGGCGCGAGCAGGUGCGAAAGCAGGUCAUAGUGAUCCGGUGGUUCUGAAUGGAAGGGCCAUCGCUCAACGGAUAAAAGGUACUCCGGGGAUAACAGGCUGAUACCGCCCAAGAGUUCAUAUCGACGGCGGUGUUUGGCACCUCGAUGUCGGCUCAUCACAUCCUGGGGCUGAAGUAGGUCCCAAGGGUAUGGCUGUUCGCCAUUUAAAGUGGUACGCGAGCUGGGUUUAGAACGUCGUGAGACAGUUCGGUCCCUAUCUGCCGUGGGCGCUGGAGAACUGAGGGGGGCUGCUCCUAGUACGAGAGGACCGGAGUGGACGCAUCACUGGUGUUCGGGUUGUCAUGCCAAUGGCACUGCCCGGUAGCUAAAUGCGGAAGAGAUAAGUGCUGAAAGCAUCUAAGCACGAAACUUGCCCCGAGAUGAGUUCUCCCUGAGACUUAAAGUCUCCUGAAGGAACGUUGAAGACGACGACGUUGAUAGGCCGGGU